UGGAAGUAAAAGUGGUAACAAGGUUUCCGUAGGUAGAGUUUUGCCUACUACAGCGGUUCCCUUACCGCUAGUCUCCUCGCGAGGCAACACGCGCAAUGUGCCGGAGAGCCCCUGCUUGCAGGGCAAUCCGCAGUGACUUUUUAAAAGUCAUUCAGAGACUAAAUACGCGUGGGUUCGGCGCUGCCGAGCUUAAGAUAUAGCCCGUCCCUGCUGGAAACGGUAGGGGUCAAACGGAACCUGCGGAAGGAUCAUUA
rnacentral:ncRNA from 1 species